rnacentral:ncRNA from 1 species
CCAUACCGGUUCUGUCUGCGCAGAUGAAAAGGGAAUGUGGUGAAAGGCCACAGCAGCUCACUCUACUGUAUGGAGGGACGAACCCUGUGUACCACUGUCAGUUUUUCUGGCGGGAAGGACAGGAAGUAGGUUUUAGCUCCAAGCCAGGAUACCUGCCGGUAUGUAU